AGGGGCUUAGGCUUAAGCAAACCAGAGGCCUUCAAAGCCUCAAUUGGGGGUGGAACCCCCUCAGCCCCUG
rnacentral:tRNA from 1 species